AACGAACGCUGGCGGCAGGCCUAACACAUGCAAGUCGAACGCUCUAGCAAUAGGGAGUGGCGCACGGGUGAGUAACGCGUAGGAAUCUACCAAUUAGCCUGGGAUAACAGCGGGAAACUGCUGCUAAUACCGGAUACGCUCCUUCGGGAGGAAAGGUUUACUACUAAUGGAUGAGCCUGCGUUAGAUUAGCUAGUUGGUGAGGUAAUGGCUCACCAAGGCUCCGAUCUAUAGCCGGUCUGAGAGGACGAUCGGCCACACUGGGACUGAGACACGGCCCAGACUCCUACGGGAGGCAGCAGUGGGGAAUAUUGGGCAAUGGGCGCAAGCCUGACCCAGCCAUGCCGCGUGAGUGAUGAAGGCCUUAGGGUUGUAAAGCUCUUUUAGUAGUGAAGAUGAUGGCAGUAGCUACAGAAAAAGCCCCGGCUAACUUCGUGCCAGCAGCCGCCGUAACAC
rnacentral:rRNA from 1 species